GUUUUCAACUAAAAAUGUCAUCAACAACAAAGAUAUAUAGCUCAUCAAGAUCUAUAACUUUUAUUUUGGUUAUUUAUUCAUCUGAUAAAGUGCUAGUAACAUUGGUUAAAAAAUUGACAUAUCUAUGUCAUAGUUUAUAAACCAGAUAAGAAAUAUAUGAAUUUUAUAAACAAUGUUACUAUUACUUUAUCGGAUGAAGAAAUAACCAAAAUAAAAGUUAUAGGUCUUGAUGAGUAAUACAUCUUUGUUAUUGAUGACUUUUUCAAUUAAAAUC
rnacentral:pre_miRNA from 1 species